UUAAAAAGAAAGUAGAUGCCUCUCUUGUACAUCGGGAGCUCUGGAUUAAAGCUUCCCAGCCACCCUUUGCUUCCUUAUCUUUUUCCUGUCUUAUGCUAUUUAGCAGCCUUUUUGGAUUUACUGUCUUGGAAAGGCUUCUUGUCAUUGUAUUCUAUUCAACAUUCUUAAUUGUGUCUUAUUUUUUUGGUCUCAGGUGUCUCUCAAAUUCUCUUUCCAUUCCUACUUUCUCUAGAGCACAAUAUAGCUUUUCAUGCAAGACAGCUUGCUCCACAUAGCCCAAAUAAUUUCU